GGCGCGUUCGGCAAGCGGUCAAGCCAUAACCCUCUCACGGUUAUAUUCACGGGUUCGAAUCCCGUACGCGUCACCA
rnacentral:tRNA from 1 species